rnacentral:rRNA from 1 species
AUUGAACGCUGGCGGCAUGCCUUACACAUGCAAGUCGAACGGUAACGGGCCUUCGGGUGCCGACGAGUGGCGAACGGGUGAGUAAUACAUCGGAACGUGCCCGAUCGUGGGGGAUAACGAGACGAAAGCUUUGCUAAUACCGCAUACGAUCUACGGAUGAAAGCAGGGGACCGCAAGGCCUUGCGCGGACGGAGCGGCCGAUGGCAGAUUAGGUAGUUGGUGGGAUAAAAGCUUACCAAGCCGACGAUCUGUAGCUGGUCUGAGAGGAUGAUCAGCCACACUGGGACUGAGACACGGCCCAGACUCCUACGGGAGGCAGCAGUGGGGAAUUUUGGACAAUGGGCGCAAGCCUGAUCCAGCCAUGCCGCGUGCAGGAUGAAGGCCUUCGGGUUGUAAACUGCUUUUGUACGGAACGAAAAGCCUUCUUUUAAUACAGGAGGGUCAUGACGGUACCGUAAGAAUAAGCACCGGCUAACUACGUG